AUUGAACGCUAGCGGCAUGCCUUACACAUGCAAGUCGAACGGCAGGCACGGGGGGCAACCCUGGUGGCGAGUGGCGAACGGGUGAGUAAUGCAUCGGAACGUGCCCAUCGAUGGGGGAUAACUGCGCGAAAGCGUUGCUAAUACCGCAUACGACCUACGGGUGAAAGCAGGGGACCGCAAGGCCUUGCGUCGAUGGAGCGGCCGAUGCCGGACUAGCUAGUUGGUGAGGUAAAGGCUCACCAAGGCGACGAUCCGUAGCUGGUCUGAGAGGACGACCCAGCCACACUGGGACUGAGACACGGCCCAGACUCCUACGGGAGGCAGCAGUGGGGAAUAUUGGACAAUGGGCGAAAGCCUGAUCCAGCAAUGCCGCGUGUGUGAAGAAGGCCUGCGGGUUGUAAAGCACUUUCAGUAGGGAAGAAAAGCCUAAGGUUAAUACCCUUGAGUCUUGACGUUACCUACAGAAGAAGCACCGGCUAACUCCGUG
rnacentral:rRNA from 1 species